UACAUGUGGGGCAAGCGUUGUUCGGAAUUACUGGGCAUAAAGGGUGCGUAGGUGGUUCGUUAAGUCAGGGGUGAAAUCCCGCGGCCCAACCGUGGAACUGCCUUUGAUACUGGCGAACUUGAGUGCGUGAGGGGUAGGGGGAACGAGCAGUGUAGCGGUGAAAUGCGUAGAUAUUCGGAGGAACACCAGUGGCGAAGGCGGCCACCUGGAUCAAUACUGACGCUGAGGCGCGAAAGCGUGGGUAGCAAACAGG
rnacentral:rRNA from 1 species